CGUUCGUCGACAACAAUACACGGAAACAGUGCGCUAAAUAUUCCCGCUUGCGGACCCUUUCGAAAAGCGUGUACAGUGAUCGUAAGGGUGGCUUAAUAACCGGAGCCGGCCGGUCGACGAUUGAUCAACUCCGGUGUACAUACUUAAUCCGCUGAUCGAGUCCCGUCAUCGUCGGUGGGGUUAAGAAAAAUGCAAGUGGCGUUUACGUUCGAAACGGACUGAAACAGUUACCGUGCGCAAUCGGCUGACUCUCCAUCUUUUCGCAUCGAAAAAAAAAAAAAAAACCAAUUAUCAGGAACGAGCGAAACUUUCAACAAGAAUUUAUAUUCAUUAGGUACGGGACAACGGCGUGCACACGCACAAGUACAUGUACAAGUACGCUGUUGUACGCUUUUCAAUUACAAGUUGGAUCUUAUCAGUGUACCCGGUCGAUAGUGGAUCACGAAACGUGUACGCGAUACGGCUCCGGGUUAUACAAUGUGUACCGAUGCAAACUAGGUA